GAGGCUGGGGGAUGGCAGUAGGGCCGGGCUAGGACUGGGGCUGGAGCGGAGUUUGGGGGCUGGGGCUCAGGAGCGGGGGCUGGGGCUGGGGCUGGGGCUGGGGCUGGGGGUGGCACUAGAGCCAGGCCGGGGUAGGGGUCGCAUCCCAGGAGGGCCGGGCCUGGGCAGAGCUGAGUCCGCGGGGGCCGGACCCCGGAAGCCAAACGGCCCGCCUGCAGGAUGAGGCCUGGCUCCUCGGCCACGACCACAGGCGGGCCAGACUUAAGUCGGAGACCUGAGGAGCCGGGCUGCAGCACUGCAGAAGGAUCUGGACAACAAGCUCUUUGGACAGCAUCUUGCAAAGAAAAUCAUCUUAAAUGCUGUGUUUGGUUUCAUAAACAACCCAAAGCCCAAGAAACCUCUCACGCUCUCCCUGCACGGGUGGACAGGCACCGGCAAAAAUUUCGUCAGCAAGAUCAUCGCAGAGAAUAUUUACGAGGGUGGUCUGAACAGUGACUAUGUCCACCUGUUUGUGGCCACAUUGCACUUUCCACAUGCUUCAAACAUCACCUUGUACAAGGAUCAGUUACAGUUGUGGAUUCGAGGCAACGUGAGUGCCUGUGCGAGGUCCAUCUUCAUAUUUGAUGAAAUGGAUAAGAUGCAUGCAGGCCUCAUAGAUGCCAUCAAGCCUUUCCUCGACUAUUAUGACCUGGUGGAUGGGGUCUCCUACCAGAAAGCCAUGUUCAUAUUUCUCAGCAAUGCUGGAGCAGAGAGGAUCACAGAUGUGGCUUUGGAUUUCUGGAGGAGUGGAAAGCAGAGGGAAGACAUCAAGCUCAAAGACAUUGAACACGCCUUGUCUGUGUCGGUUUUCAAUAACAAGAACAGUGAGUAGGGCCAUCCACCGCCAGUCCCAUCUGGUUCCUAAUCCUGCACCCUAAGUGUUAAAGCGUCGGGGUCACUGUCAGCAUCACCUGGGAGCUGGGUAGAAAGAAAUGCAGAUUCUCAGUCCCCCUCCGAGUCAUGAGGGAAAUCUUUGCUGACAAACUCCAGGUAACUUUUAUGAACACUAAUGUUUGACAA
rnacentral:sRNA from 1 species